AUCUCCAAAAUAAUUUAUAUCUGAUGAAAGAAAUAUCUACAAAUCUAACUAUGAAUAAAUAAAUCUCUAUAAAUAAUGAGAAAGUAUUCAGUGAAUCUGAUAAAAGAGAGGUUUCAAAGACUCACGAGGGUGGCCUUAGGCAUUGAAACUCUGCAGUCAUCAAUUGAUAGAAGAGAUGGCUAUCACAAAAAAGAUUUGGCCAAUAGAGUGGAUGGUUUAAAUUGAUCUUGUUGGCGGUGGCAGCAUGGCUAGAGAGUUUAAAGCAGGAGGCGAGAUUCUCGAAGGAAAGAAUGAAGAGAGGAGAGAUGGGUAGAGCUACAUGAGUUUCUUAAUGCUAAAAUUUUGGUAUAUAACAGGAGAGGGCUUGGAGGUUACACCCGGAUGGGUGUCAUGGUGAGGAUGAAGAGAUCGAAAGAGUGGAUUAUUCUAAUUGAAUAGUGGAUGGCAGCAUCAAUAUGGGAGGA
rnacentral:lncRNA from 1 species